AUGUCUUUCCACGAAAGAUCGAUAAGUUUGCCUUCUAGGCCUCACGUCAGUGAGACCCAAGUCGAGCAAGAGCUCCACGGCCUAGAAGCAAGCAUCUCUUCCUCCAAUUCCAUCAGCACGAUGUGCGAUGGUCUCAGGAGUCUUGCAAACAUCUACGAUGGUCUUGAAGAGAUUAUUUGCCUACCAAGCCACCAAGUUUUCUCCUCCCAGCAGAGGAACAUGUUGGAUGGAGAAAUGGAAGUUUCUCUCGAGCUACUAGAUCUCUGCAGCGCCAUGCAAGAGAUCUUCGCCGAGAUGGUGGUCAUCAUCCAAGAGCUGCAAGUGGCUCUAAGAAAAGGAGAUGAUGCAGCUGCUCAAGCCAAGAUCCAGUCUUUUGCUCGCUUGGCGAAGAAGGCCAGGAAACAUUUCAAGAAGACUGCCAAGAAGGCUGCAUCCAACAAGAUGGUCAUGCUAUUGACCAACGCAAGAGAGAUCUGCAUCUCUCUGCUGGAGUCCACACUCCAUCUCUUGUCGAAGCAAAUUGAAAUGCCGAAGCAGUCUCUUGUCUGCAAGGCAUUUUACAAGAAGAAGGCCGUUGUUUGCGAGGAGCAAUUGAAGGAGUUAGAGUGCAGCAUUGGAGAUCUUUAG
rnacentral:rRNA from 1 species